rnacentral:rRNA from 1 species
AUUGAACGCUGGCGGCAGGCCUAACACAUGCAAGUCGAACGGUAACAGGGAGCAGCUUGCUGCUUUGCUGCCGAGUGGCGGACGGGUGAGUAAUGUCUGGGAAACUGCCCGAUGGAGGGGGAUAACUACUGGAAACGGUAGCUAAUACCGCAUAACGUCGCAAGACCAAAGAGGGGGACCUUAGGGCCUCUUGCCAUCGGAUGUGCCCAGAUGGGAUUAGCUAGUAGGUGGGGUAACGGCUCACCUAGGCGACGAUCCCUAGCUGGUCUGAGAGGAUGACCAGCCACACUGGAACUGAGACACGGUCCAGACUCCUACGGGAGGCAGCAGUGGGGAAUAUUGCACAAUGGGCGCAAGCCUGAUGCAGCCAUGCCGCGUGUAUGAAGAAGGCCUUCGGGUUGUAAAGUACUUUCAGCGGGGAGGAAGGGAGUAAAGUUAAUACCUUUGCUCAUUGACGUUACCCGCAGAAGAAGCACCGGCUAACUCCGUG